rnacentral:rRNA from 1 species
GCUGAACUCUGGCGGCGUGCCUAAUACAUGCAAGUCGAGCGAACAGACGAGGAGCUUGCUCCUCUGACGUUAGCGGCGGACGGGUGAGUAACACGUGGAUAACCUACCUAUAAGACUGGGAUAACUUCGGGAAACCGGAGCUAAUACCGGAUAAUAUAUUGAACCGCAUGGUUCAAUAGUGAAAGACGGUUUUGCUGUCACUUAUAGAUGGAUCCGCGCCGCAUUAGCUAGUUGGUAAGGUAACGGCUUACCAAGGCAACGAUGCGUAGCCGACCUGAGAGGGUGAUCGGCCACACUGGAACUGAGACACGGUCCAGACUCCUACGGGAGGCAGCAGUAGGGAAUCUUCCGCAAUGGGCGAAAGCUUGACGGAGCAACGCCGCGUGAGUGAUGAAGGUCUUCGGAUCGUAAAACUCUGUUAUUAGGGAAGAACAAAUGUGUAAGUAACUAUGCACGUCUUGACGGUACCUAAUCAGAAAGCCACGGCUAACUACGUG